GGUUAAGUUAUGAAGGGCGCACGGUGGAUGCCUUGGCACUAGGAGCCGAUGAAGGACGGUACUAACACCGAUAUGCUUCGGGGAGCUGUAAGUAAGCAUUGAUCCGAAGAUUUCCGAAUGGGGAAACCCACUGCUCGUAAUGGGGCAGUAUCCUUACCUGAAUACAUAGGGUAAGAGAAGGUAGACCCGGGGAACUGAAACAUCUUAGUACCCGGAGGAAGAGAAAGCAAACGCGAUUUCCUGAGUAGCGGCGAGCGAAACGGAAGAUAGCCCAAACCAAGAGGCUUGCCUCUUGGGGUUGUAGGACACUCUAUACGGAGUUACAAAAGAGCGAAGUAGACGAAGCGACCUGGAAAGGUCCGUCAGAGAAGGUAACAACCCUGUAGUCGAAACUUCGUUCUCUCUUGAGUGGAUCCUGAGUACGGCGGGACACGUGAAAUCCCGUCGGAAGCUGGGAGGACCAUCUCCCAAGGCUAAAUACUCCCUAGUGACCGAUAGUGAACCAGUACCGUGAGGGAAAGGUGAAAAGCACCCCGGGAGGGGAGUGAAAUAGAACCUGAAACCGUGUGCCUACAAGUAGUCAAAGCACAUUUAUGUGUGAUGGCGUGCCUUUUGUAGAAUGAACCGGCGAGUUACGAUCCCGUGCAAGGUUAAGUUGAAGAGACGGAGCCGCAGCGAAAGCGAGUCUGAAUAGGGCGA
rnacentral:rRNA from 1 species